GUAAUGAUCCAAUCACGGCUCAGACAAUCCGAUUGGUUAUUUUCCCAAACCAAUCAGAAAUCACUCAAUGUUAAUCAUACCACACCAAUCAGAGUCGUUCGCGCUAGGUACAAACGAUCUGCUAUCCCCGCGCAAGUAUAAAAGUAGGGACAAACCACGCACAGAUUGUCAGUAAUUUUCUAACAGUUGGACGGUUAGGACCUCUAAGCAGAGCAAGCUCCCUAUCCCAUCCCAAAGCCAACCGGCGAGCAACGGAGCAAAGCCCCACCGAGGAAGACAUCAUUGCCAGACCGACGACUGCGAGAGGCACGAGGUCGAAUACCCAGUCACGGUUUGACUGCCCAUCCGGUCGCUUGGCACUAUCCCGGCCUUUGAUUAAAGGUGCGCGGGCUCGGUUGCAGAAUAUAAGGGCUUUUGCGGCUCCAGCUGCUUCGUCUGGCUUCUCUGCAACGCCAAUAGUCCAACGCCAAUAGUCCAAACAAGAGUUAUUUAGUCCAACCGAUUUGUUGAUUUGUAAAGCUAGAAGUGUGUGAUUUCCAGUGAAAAACCGAUGUAAGCAUGAAUUUUCUUGCCAUAUUGAGUCAUGAAAGUGAUUGUGUGCUCAUCCAUCCGCCACAGCACCAACAACGGUGGUCGGUUUUAGUCGGAGUCCACGUGAGAUUCUUCAGCGGUUCCCAACCAGCGACGUGGGACUUGGCCUGGCUGAGAAAGAAGAUAAGUGAAGAAAAUGUGUGCACACUACUGACAUUUUUGUAACUGCGCGUGUGUUGAAGUUAGUGUUAAGCAGAAUUAGCUCACAAUUUACGGCCGUUUAGAAAUUAAAUUGUAAUGGACUUGCUAGUGAGCAAUAGAUUGUGUUAACGUA